CUAAUACAUGCAAGUCGAACGCUUCUUUUUCCACCGGAGCUUGCUCCACCGGAAAAAGAGGAGUGGCGAACGGGUGAGUAACACGUGGGUAACCUGCCCAUCAGAAGGGGAUAACACUUGGAAACAGGUGCUAAUACCGUAUAACAAUCGAAACCGCAUGGUUUUGAUUUGAAAGGCGCUUUCGGGUGUCGCUGAUGGAUGGACCCGCGGUGCAUUAGCUAGUUGGUGAGGUAACGGCUCACCAAGGCCACGAUGCAUAGCCGACCUGAGAGGGUGAUCGGCCACAUUGGGACUGAGACACGGCCCAAACUCCUACGGGAGGCAGCAGUAGGGAACCUUCGGCAAUGGACGAAAGUCUGACCGAGCAACGCCGCGUGAGUGAAGAAGGUUUUCGGAUCGUAAAACUCUGUUGUUAGAGAAGAACAAGGAUGAGAGUAACUGUUCAUCCCUUGACGGUAUCUAACCAGAAAGCCACGGCUAACUACGUGCCAGCAGCCGCGGUAAUACGUAGGUGGCAAGCGUUGUCCGGAUUUAUUGGGCGUAAAGCGAGCGCAGGCGGUUUCCUAAGUCUGAUGUGAAAGCCCCCGGCUCAACCGGGGAGGGUCAUUGGAAACUGGGAGACUUGAGUGCAGAAGAGGAGAGUGGAAUUCCAUGUGUAGCGGUGAAAUGCGUAGAUAUAUGGAGGAACACCAGUGGCGAAGGCGGCUCUCUGGUCUGUAACUGACGCUGAGGCU
rnacentral:rRNA from 1 species